rnacentral:rRNA from 1 species
CAGCCGCCGCGGUAAUACGAAGGGGGCUAGCGUUGUUCGGAAUUACUGGGCGUAUAGCGCACGUAGGCGGAUAUUUAAGUCAGGGGUGAAAUCCCAGAGCUCAACUCUGGAACUGCCUUUGAUACUGGGUAUCUUGAGUAUGGAAGAGGUGAGUGGAAUUCCGAGUGUAGAGGUGAAAUUCGCAGAUAUUCGGAGGAACACCAGUGGCGAAGGCGGCUCACUGGUCCAUUACUGACGCUGAGGUGCGAAAGCGUGGGGAGCAAACAGGAUUAGAUACCCGUGUAGUCCCUGUCUCUUAUAC